CAGCUUGGAGAGGUUGUCGGCCACGAUGAAGACCAGUAACCAGCUGCUGCUGGCCCAGCUGGAGGAGCAGGAGCAGGUGCUGCGGCUGCCCAGCGGAACGAGAGGCAGAGAGAGCCAGGAGAGAGAAGAGCCAGAGAAGAGCGGAACGAGAGGCAGAGAGAGCCAGGAGAGAGAAGAGCCAGAGAAGAAGGACAAGAAGAGGACUGUCAGAUCUCUGUUGAACCGCACCUUCACUCGCAAACACGCCACAGACGCGAACACAUCGACCCCUGACCCCCAGGGCACGUCUGGGCUGCGGCGUGUGUGUGAGGGGCAGGCCAGAGUGUGUGACGGCCAGUCUGUUCUGGUCAGCGAGCUCCUGAUGAACAAGGCACUUUUGGAGAAGAGAAGAGACGAUCUGAGCGGCCGGCUGACUGAAGGGAACACACACACAGAACAAGACGACCGCGCUCUCCACCAGCUCGAGGAGACCAUAGAGGCUGU
ensembl:lncRNA